rnacentral:lncRNA from 1 species
CGGACUUGGCGAGCCUGGCGGCUGUGCACGGGCGCGGCGGGAAGGAGCGGGCGAGCCGGUGUGCGGCCAGCGGAGUCCGGUUGAAGGAUCCUUUGGAGUCUUAGAAUUUUUGGCAGUACCUUGAAGGGAUGGAAACUGUUCAUCUGGAGUUGGACUUGAGGAUGAACCAGGAGGCCCGGUGCUCAGCUGUAAUUUGAUGGGCCCAGAUGGGGGUCAAACUUGCAUUGCUCUUGCCUCAGGCCCAAAGUGUGCUGGGAUUACAGGCGUACUACCAUGUCUGGCUUGAAAGUUGUGAUUUAUUAACUCUGUUUUCCCUAAGAUUUAUCUAUCAUUUCAGUUCUUUUCUCCCUCUACUCCUUUUGGGAUUGGUUCAGAG